rnacentral:tRNA from 1 species
GGGUCGUUAGCUCAGUUGGUAGAGCAGUUGACUUUUAAUCAAUUGGUCGCAGGUUCGAAUCCUGCCGACCCACCA